CUCAUCUGUAUCUUUGAAGGAGAAGCUUACUCAAGUGCAGCUUCAUCUGAGGAUGGAUACCGGUAACUUGAAAUUAAUUCAGGAAGUGGAGACCAGGUGGACCAGCACAUAUUUGAUGCUGCAAGUUUGGUUGAGCUCAGGGAACCAGUUGGAGCAGCAUUGCAACACGACAUCCCCUUCUUGACCUCAGAUGAAUUCAGUAUAAUUGGAGGGUGCCUUUCCUUACCGUCUCCAUUCUACGAUGCCACUGGAGAGCUGUCAGCAGAGGAAAACGUGUCUGCCUCUAAAGUCGUACCACUCAUGAAAAUGCUGGAACAAACACUUCAAGAGGAGCCAAACAAAAGCCACAGAGGCAAUAAAGCGACUGACCUCAGAGUGUUCCACCAUUAUAAGAUCUAAACAAAACAGAGAGGAAAUUCCCCAGGCUUCCACCUCUCAUGAUGUCACUGGAGGUAGCAAACUGUGGCAUUCUCUGGCCACCAGUGUCAUGGAAGCAAGGAAAACCCAAAAUGUAACUGCAGAUGCCCAUGUGGAGGUCCGGCGCUACCUUUCCGAACCAAAUAUCAGUAGGCUGGAAAACCCUCUGGUACACUGGGAGAGGCAAAAACUGUUGUACUCACAUUUAUAUAGACUGGCAAUUGCAUUUUUGUGCACGCCAGCGUCUUCUGUCCCAUGUGAAAGGGUGUUUUCAAAGGCUGGAGAAAUUGUCAAAAAAAAAACAAAUCGUUUAA